rnacentral:rRNA from 1 species
UACGAAGGGGGCUAGCGUUGCUCGGAAUCACUGGGCGUAAAGGGUGCGUAGGCGGGUUUUUAAGUCAGGGGUGAAAUCCUGGAGCUCAACUCCAGAACUGCCUUUGAUACUGAAGAUCUCGAGUCCGGGAGAGGUGAGUGGAACUGCGAGUGUAGAGGUGAAAUUCGUAGAUAUUGGGAAGAACACCGGUGGCGAAGGCGGCCAACUGGACCACAACUGACGCUGAGGCACGAAAGCGUGGGGAGCAAACAGG